rnacentral:tRNA from 1 species
UGAGUUGUUGACUAAUCGGUAAGUCCUCUAGAUUUGAGCUAGACCUAUAUACGUUCGAAUCGUAUCAACUCAG